CAACAUCAGGGUCUUUUCCAGGGAGUCUUCUCUUCUCAUGAGGUGGCCAGAGUAUUGGAGCCUCAGCUUCAUGAUCUGUCCUUCCAGUGAGCACUCAGGGCUGAUUUCCUUCAGAAUGGAGUGGUUUGAUCUUCUUGCAGUCCAUGGGACUCUCAAGAGUCUCCUCCAGCACCCUGGCGAAGGGGCUUGAAUAACUCAGAGAAGCUAUGAGUUAUGCCGUGCAGGGCCACCCAAGAUGGACAGGUCAUGGUGGAGAGUUUUGACCAAACGUGAUCCACCUGGAGCAGGAACCGGCAAGCCACUCCAGUAUCCCUGCCAAGAAAAUUCCAUCGACAAAGUGUGCAUAGGAUUGCAAUUUGAAUUGCUUGUGUUAUUCACCCUCUCUUAAGACUUCUAUCAUCCCACCUGCAUUUACAGAUUCCUUCUGGUUCCAAGUCCCUGAAAGUAUUUUGGUCCACUGUGUUAUUUCUGCAUUUUUGUGUGUCCCCCCCACCCCAAGGCAUUUAUAGGUUUGGGCUAAGCUUUCCCUGACCCAUAAGAUGUAACCCUGGUUUAUGUGUUUUGAAACCCCCAGUACCUUUUUUAAAAAAAAAUACAUAUGCUUUUAUAUUUCUGUUUUAUUAGCUUUUAGGCUUGUACUUUUGUUGUAAUGAUAUUGUUUGUUUUUAUAUUGUGCACCGCUUAGAAAUUUUUUAAAAUAUUAAGCAAUUUAUAAAUCCUUUUAUAUAAAAUUUAUAAACUAUACAACAAUAUUAGGGACAUUAUUGCUGAUCUCAGCUGUGGGCAAAGAGAACGGCACAGAAUAACAAGAAGCACGGAGAGAAAGGAAAUGUUUUCUAACAUGCGAGAACUAAACACUCACAUCCUAUUAAAAUGUUAAAGGGGAUUUCUUAAUUAAAUUACAAACUCUACACAGUGUUAUGGAAUUUAGUUUUUGAGCCCAGUAUGACAUAAAUUGACUUUGGUUAAAGUGUUUCUAUGGACUUUGGAAUAAUCAUUGUUCAUUAACAUAAAUGAAAACCCAGUUCUAAUCUUCACUUUCACUUAGACGUUAUACAUGUUUCUGUAGAUGCCAUUUUUAUUGCUGCUAAUGUUUUUUAAUCAAAAGGUGAGUCCUGUAGAGCCUCAUUGCAAGGAAUGAGUAUGUUUGUGAUGGAUUCAGAAUCCAUUCCGCUUUAUACCAAUCACUUUUGAGACACUGACUACCCUCUUUUGAAAGUCUGAAGGCAAUGUGGAAGGGAAAGCUGGUGGAACCUCCAGACCCAGUUUUAUUGGGGGUGGUGGUGGAAAUCUGAUAUGCCAAGCCAUUUUCAGUUUCAGUCAAUAUACGGGAGACCUCUCUCAAAGUGGUAUACCGGUGGUUCCAUACACUGGCCAGGCUUACCCAUAUUUUGGGUCUUUGGUCUAGACCAGGAGUCAGCAACCUUUUUCAGCCAUGGGCUGGUUCACCGUCCCUCAGACCAUGUGGUUGGCCGGACUAUAUGGUUUUUUUUGGGGGGGAAAGAACGAAUUCCUAUGCCCCACAAGUAACCUAGAGAUGUAUUUUAAAUAAAAGAACACAUUCUACUCAUGUAAAAACACACAGAUUCCUGGAGCAUCCGCGGGCCGGAUUGAGAAGGCGAUUGGGCCACAUCCAGCCCCCGGGCCUUAGGUUGCCUACCCCUGGUCUAGACUCUAGUAGCUCUUGGUGGGGCUGCCCAGAUAAGGUCACUUAGUGGGGUGCACUAGAACUAGUAUAUUGUGCAGAAACGAAAGGUACACUAUUGCAUGCAUGCAAAACCAGGCUGUAAAGGGAAGAUGCAGAUUUUACAUUGAGCUCGUGGUUCGAAACUUGGCUGGAGGCAUUUAAUGCCUCUUAUAAAGUGAGAAAACAAAUGACUGUGUUACAAUACUUGACGUAGAAAGAAUACACUCAUGAGUACAUAGAUCAUGAAAGCAUGUCUAACUUGUUAAAAGAAGGUAGUUCAUAGCGUGUAAAUGGAGCUGCGUUGGAAUAGGCUCAAAUUACAUUUUUUCGAAUGUUCAAAAGGGAAUCUGUAAAGCACUCUUUGAAACUGAUGGCUUGGGGACUUGGCUGUGGGGAGGCUUCUAGGCACAUAGCUUCUGAAUUCAUUGUUCUCCAAGUGGAACUCUGCCUUUAAUUUCAGACUCAAAUGACCUUGAAAAUUCAGUUGCCUGUGUGCCGGAUAUUCACACUGAAUGGCCUCAUUUGUAGCUAAAUCAGAUGCAGAUUACAGAUACAUAAUUUUCUUGGUUUAUUUGGCUGCCUCAGCAUAUUUGAUUUGAUUGUGUGUGUGUGUGUGUGAUGCAUGGAUAAAUUUGGAGCUAAAAAGGAAGUGUCCUAAGUAAACUGCAGAUUUUAAUGUUAGAGUAAUAAACUAGCUCGCAACUAGGGAAUAUAUCACUGGAAACGCUUUAAAAAGAUUAAUGGAUUUUAUUGCAGAAGUGCAUUGUUUUAGGGGGGAGGAAAGAACAAUAGUAUUUACUUAUUAUAGAGGACUGCCAAAACCUCAUAGAUUAUUGCAUCUUUUUCUUUUAACCAAUUAAUUAGCUGACUGGAAUAAAGCAGUAUCUUAUUACAGACUACAUACAUCAUCGUGUGUGUGUGUGUGUGUGUGUGUGUGUGUGUUUUGUGACCAGACAACAAAUAUGAGGUAUACUUGAUUCCAGAUGGUUGACCAUGUUAUUUUACUGAAAUCAAAACAGGAGAGCAUAUGGUGUCUUCUUGCACAAACAUUUGUGGAUUGGUGCAUUUAUCAGAUGCAUGACAUUAUCCCCAGAUGACAGGUAUAUAAUUUCUAAAUACAAACAUAGGUAUGGAGGAAAGAAAGUGCAAACAUUGGGACUUGAAGUCCAUGAAGUGCAAGAAUGUGGUAAGCAAAGCUCAAACGUAUGCAAGGUAACAACAGCAUCCAUUUACAAUGGUAGUAAUUGGUGGCAACAGGUUUCUUGAGACACUGACUACCCUCUUUUGAAAGUCUGAAGGCAAUGUGGAAGGGAAAGCUGGUGGAAACUCCAGACCCAGUUUUAUUGGGGGGGGUGGUGGUGGUGGAAAUCUGGUAUGCCAAGCCAUUUUCAGUUUCAGUCAAUAUACGGGAGACCUCUCUCAAAGUGGUAUACCGGUGGUUCCAUACACUGGCCAGGCUUACCCAUAUUUUGGGUCUUUGGUCUAGACCAGGAGUCAGCAACCUUUUUCAGCCAUGGGCUGGUUCACCGUCCCUCAGACCAUGUGGUUGGCCGGACUAUAUGGUUUUUUUGGGGGGGAAAGAACGAAUUCCUAUGCCCCACAAAUAACCUAGAGAUGUAUUUUAAAUAAAAGGACACAUUCUACUCAUGUAAAAACACACAGAUUCCUGGAGCAUCCGCGGGCCAGAUUGAGAAGGCGAUUGGGCCACAUCCAUCCCCCGGGCCUUAGGUAGCCUACCCCUGGUCUAGACUCUAGCAGCUCUUGGUGGGGCUGCCCAGAUAAGGUCACUUAGUGGGGUGCACUAGAACUAGUAUAUUGUGCAGAAACGAAAGGUACACUAUUGCAGGCAUGCAAAACCAGGCUGUGGAAAAACAGAGCCAGUGUGGUAUAGUGGUUAAGAGCGGUAGUCUCAUAAUCUGGGGAACCGGGUUCGCGUCUCCGCUCCUCCACAUGCAGCUGCUGGGUGACCUUGGGCCAGUCACACUUCUUUGAAGUCUCUCAGCCCCACUCACCUCACAGAGUGUUUGUUGUGGGGGAGGAAGGGAAAGGAGAAUGUUAGCCGCUUUGAGACUCCUUAAAGGGAGUGAAAGGCGGGAUAUCAAAUCCAAACUCCUCUUCUUCUUCUUCUUCUUCUUCUUCUUCUUCUUUCAAAAUUUGGGGUAUGGGUGUGUGCUUAACAGCUGUAGUGUGUGGGGAGGGGAGGGGAAUGGAAAUGUUCUCUCACUGAUUUCUGAAUACUUCCAUCUAUUUAUAUUAGGUUUGUGUCCAUUUACUUCUUCUGCAGAGUAGUAUAUAUUGAUUUGUUUCUUAAUUUCAUUGAGUGAGUAUUAUCCUUUUUAGAAUGUGUGAUGCAAAUCCUUUAAAUGUGAGUCUGAGGAAUAGGAGCAACUGAAAAUGGAGGCAUUAAACCAGGCUUCCUCAACCUCGGCCCUCCAGAUGUUUUUGGCUUGCAACUCCCAUGAUCCCUAGCUAGCAGGACCAGUGGUCAGGGAUGAUGGGAAUUAUAGUCUCAAAACAUCUGGAGGGCCAAGGUUGAGGAAGCCUGUGUUAAACAAUCUCCUGCUGUGGCUGGAUAUACCAUCUUAUGGUUCAAUGCCAUAUGCAGAAAAGGUUAUGGUGGUACUCACUGAUUCAUCUUUGUCAGUGGUGACUCAAGUAGCUCGCUUUGGCUGGUACAUUAGCAACAUUCAUUCAUGGGCCAGGAUAACCUCACCAUUGUGGUCCAUACACUGGUAAUCUCAAGACGUGAUUGAUGCCCUUGAUGCUGCUGUUAGUGCUAUGAGGCUGCUGCUGGAGCUAAAUGUUGUCAACAUGUUGUACCUAGGCUGAAGCAGUUGUGUUGACUAAUUUUAGGUUACUGGGCCAGGUUCAAGGUGUUGCUAAUUGUUUCAAAAGCCCUAAAAACAUGGAACAAUGCUGCUUGAGAGACCAUUGCUCCUCUUAUGCCCCUGCAUCUCAAAGUAAAGGACCACCUGGUGGCAUCAAGAGCUCCUACUAUUUGCCUCAUGUCUACCAGUGUUAAUCUCCAGUACUAGUAAAUCCAAGCUCUGAUUGAAGGACCCAGCUGAUACAUUGUCGAGGACUUGCCAUGGCAUGCACUACUUUCCACCUAGCAGUUUAUUGUGGAGUUUGUGGGGCUGAUGCUCAGAAGGUUUUCUCAGUGUCCUCACAAUGCUGCCCUCAUCAAAACACCAGCCCAUACCUUUCACCCUCCCUUAAUCCAGAUUGAGACUAUUUUUAUAAAAAACAAAUGUAACAAACAUAUACAUAUUUUAAAAUAAUUUAAUAUGCCCUUCCAAAACUCCCCUGGCAGAAGAGUGAAUCCUUUAGAAGGCCAUGUGGUCUUCCACUAUUGGGCAGAUGUACAGAAGCUCAUGGUCUCCAACUGUCCUGAAAAUGCCAGGACCGUCGUGAAAACUUGUAGGCCAUCACGGCUUCUCACUUAUUCGUGCAGAGUCCUGAAUUCCCCUUCUUUGCUGAGGUACGCUAACUGGAAAUGGCUUCAUGGGGGGGGGGAGUGGGAUGCGAGGGGAGAGAGUUGCUUACUGAGGCCUCCUUGUCCUCAUUUGCUGUUGCUCCUGGGAGUUCGUAGUGAAGGAAGAAUCUUGUGCCUGGUCCGAGGGAAGGAGCUAGGUGGGCAGAAAGAGCUGGAAGCAGCAGCAGUAGCAGGAAGAGGAGGUGGCAGCCUCAGUAAGCAACUCUCUCUUCCCGCAUCCCAUGGGAAAUAUAAGCAAAUAUUCACCUUAGUAUAGGGUAAAGGUAAAGGGACCCCUGACCAUUAGGUCCAGUCACAGACAACUCUGGGAUUGUGGCGCUCAUCUCGCUUUACUGGAUUUGAACUGCUGACCUUCUGAUCGGCAAGUCCUAGGCUCUGUGGUUUAACCCACAGUGCCACUCGCGUCCCUCCUAGGAUAGUGUAGGAAAGCUUAUAUACGUUUCCGAAGUCGCCGAUUGCAUAACCAAGCAUCUGGGGCAUGUGCUGCCAUUGGACACAGCAGAGAUAUCAAGGGCAGAGUUAGGUCUGCUUUAUGGGCAGUCUAACCAGAAGAAGCCAAAACUUUAAAAGGAUAGAUUAUUGUGAACUUUGGUCCCUACAGAGAAUUUUUAAUCAAAAUGCAAAUGUGGAGAGAAAUUGAAACAGAUACUUUAACAUUUGGCUCAGCAGGACUACCUCCAGUUCCUACCAGUAAAUCCCUUUUGUUCUAAUUUCCCUGGUCUGGGGGAAUCUGGGCAAAAUCUCAGGGACUUCAGUGAUGGUAACUUUAAAGCUGGCGCUGAUAAGAAAAGCAUCUUUGCACAAAGGCUUGUUAACGUUUUAUUCUGCUCUUUCUCCCAGGAGACUGUGGCAGCGUGUGUUGUUUGGCCCUGUCCAUUUUAUCUUCACAACAACGCUGAGAGAUAGUGACUGCCCAAACAUCACCCAGUGAGAUUCAUGGCUGAGAGGGGAUUUGAUCUCUGAUUUCCCCUGAAACUUGAGCCACUACGUCAUGAGCUGAGAUGAUGUGACAUUAUUCAUGGGUAGCUCCCAAGCUCCAUAGACAUAUGGUCUGGACAUAGUUGGCUUGCUAAGUCAGAUGUGUUCACAAGCAGGGCCAAGAACACUGAGAAGAAUGGAUAAUCUCUUUCCUUUUCUCAGUCUCUUCUAGCCCCCGUGAAUUCCUGCAGGUCUUGUCUAUUCAUUUUCUCCUUCCCAGCUUGUAACAAAAUUCAUUGCUGGUUACUGAAUUUUUAUCUGAACUAUUAAUUCUACCAGAAAAUAAUAAUUUCGUGUAAGGUAUAUAACAGAGUAGACCUGUCUCUCUUGCGUCUUUUGCAAAACUUGUAUUACACACAUUUAAACUUUUUUGAAAUUGAUGUAGGUGAUUUGUGGGUGAUGCAUCAAUUAAAAAAGGGUCAUAUUAGAAUGCUGCUAUGCUUGUCCAGCUGCAACUUCAGUUACUGCAGGAGAAACUCUCAUUUGUUUGCAGGAGAAGGAGAUGGAAAUAAGUGCGCUUGCUAAAUAAUGUAUACUUUGGGAAUCAAAAUGCAAGAGUAGCUCAUAACCCAGUGUCUAAAUCUACCACCUGGUAAACUGUGCUUGAAAGAGAGUGAAGGAUCACUGAUGCAACCUGUAUCUUGGCGGUAACGAAUGUAUUGCUGAGUCAGUUUUAAGCCAAACCAUCAGAUACUGGCUGUGCCAGUAAUUCAAAGCAAAUGGUGGGGGAAUCAAGGCGGCAGCUCAGUGGGCUGUUGUCUUAAAAGUUUCAUAAACCUUCAAUCAAUCAGACCCUCCCCUGAGUCACUUUGCCAACUCUGUUCCUUUAUCUUCAACAGACAACAGGCUGUUUCUUUGACCAGGAAGAUAUAUCUUAAGGGAGAAAAACAACACUGCCACUUUUCACGCUAUUGUUUGGCUAGGUAAUGGAAGUUUGUGUCCGGCUGUACCUAGAUUCCUGUCGCAGGUACAAAACCACUAUCUUUUCCCUUGAGUUAUUGCAUUCAGCUCUGGAGAAGGGGAAAAUGUUGUUUUUCAACCUUUUCUUUUUUCCUCUUUGCUGCUUACUGUCCAUCCUGGCUUUGGAUGUCUUUAUACGAGGUCCUCUUUACAGGUCAGAACCAGCGUGGAACUGUCUCAGCCAAAACGAAAUCCCAUUAUACCGUAUUGGCCCGACUAUAAGCCGCACCCGCAAAUAAGCUGCACCUUCAAAAUUCAAGGCUCAUUUGCGGGUGCGGCGCACCUCCCGCCACUACCGCCCUGAACGGGGGACAAGGGGUGGCCGGUGCCGGUGCUCGGCUCUGAAUAUAAGCAGCACUUUAACUUUUCACAGUCGGAAUUGGGGGGGGGAAGUGCGGCUUAUAUUCGGGCCAAUAUGAUAGGUAGGCAGGAAAGUGAACCAAACCCAGAGAUCUUCUUUUGCUGCUGUAGUUAUUCUAAUGAGAUUACAGGGAGCUGAUGCUCCUGCCAUGGACUUGGCCAUAUUGUCUCCCCUGCUCUAGGACCAUGAAAGGACUUUCGCCUUCCCCACUCACACAUUGAACAAUAUUGACUAGACCUUGCGGAGAGAAAGCUUUGACCUGACAAAAAACAUAGAAGUUGAAACCCUGCUUUUCCCCAAAUCCCUUUUCUCUCCCUGUAGGCAAGGCAAAAGGGCCCCUUUGGAAGUUUAUGUUGGUUUGACUUGGGCCUAGGGAACCAGGGAAGACAGUGUAUGAGUAUGAAUAGCAGGCACCCCCAAACUUGGCCCUCCAUUUGUUUUGGGACUAUAACUCCCAUCAUCCCUAGCUAACAGGACCAGUGGUCAGGGAUGAUGGGAAUUGUAGUCCCAAAACAUCUGGAGGGCCGAGUUUUUCCUAUGCCUGAUGUAUAGGCUUCUCUGUCACAUGAUGACCCAACUUCAUUUCAUUUUUGUUUUCAUGUUAAAGCCACACUCUUUUUGUUUUACCUUCAUUUUGAUUACCUUCAUUGUCUACCUUCCAUUCUUGUUUUUUGAUUGAUGCUUUGUGGAGUCUCUCUCUCACACCCACCCACACAUAGGUCUUUUGCUCCCUUCAUCUUUGGCAUUUUUUUGCCUAAAUGGCAUGCAAUUUGCAGGCAUCUUAUCUGUUUUGGGGCAGAUGGAACAAAACAAAUGUGAUAAACAAACAAGCAAAAUGUAGAAAACAAAACUGAAUGUGCUCUUGUUGGUUUUCCAUCUUCAUUUUUUUAUUUUUCUACAUUCAUUUUACUUCUGAACAAAUGUGGGUGCAUUCAUUUCAUUUUUCAAUUUUUUAAAACACACCCCAAAGUGAAGAGCUUUUUAUUUGCACAGCCCUUUCAGAGCUGUCAGCUCUAAUGAGUUUUAGUGCUGGAAUUAUCUUUCCUGCUGUUUUAUCGUGUUCUUUUAUUAUUCUGUAUUCUUGACGUUUCCCCUCCCCCCCUCCCCCAUGCUUUUAAUUCUGUUAGCCGAUCUGGGAACUUGCUUCUUGAGGAGAGGGGUGAGAAGCUUUGCAAAUAAAUAAAAAAGUUACAGAUCCCUACAUCGUAAGGGGCUUGUUUUGUGCAGAGUUUAGCACAUCAUAUGCAGCGUUUAUUAAGGAUAAUCAUUUUCCGACUGUUGUGCUGCAUCUGGUGGAUUCAUAGGAUCCUAUAAGCCAGUGCACAUAAGCACCACCUUAAAUGCUUGGGGGCAGGGGAGGAAGUGGCCUGGCAAGUGGUACGUGGAUGGCUGAUAAUGUUAGGUAUAAAUGUUGGGUUUGGCGGCAUUUAAGUAGAAUGAUAUAGGAUGGUAUUUCUAAAAAUGCAUGUCGUGCGUAGAACCCUUUUAUUCACAGCUGUUGCUGAUGCUUUUGAAUUUAGUCUCAAUUAGCACUCUAUAGCAAUCUUCUGAGCAACCUAUCACAUUGGAUUACAGAUUAUAUCGACACAGAGAAAAAUGAAUUCUCAAAGAUUUGUGCUUUUGCAUUGAGUUGACGUUACUCAAUUAUAAGUACAUUAGCAAAUUGCAGUCGUCCAGUGUUGUGCCGGGGCAUUCAACGAACCCUUCUAGCUUCCAUUAAUGGUAAUGGGAAUUCUCUGUCCAAUUUGUGUCACAUCACACAGACUGUUCGGUGCUUCAGUCGGCCAUAAACUUUUUUUGUCAAAAGUUCAAGGUUGACUUUUAAAGGAACAUUGGCUUUUCCUCCUGCAAGGGCUUUAGGGUGGCUGAACUCAAGCCGUUGAAUUCAGAUUUGUUUCUCCCCAGGAAAAGGUAUGUCCUAAUGCUAAGCUCGCUAAAACUACCUUCCAGUGCUCUGCAAGAGCAGUGUCAAAAUACGCAUGUGUGGUUGUGCAAAGGAAAUUGAGAAGCCUAAGGUGUGUGCCGUGUUGUGUGCCUUGUACUUUCUUCAUGCACAAUAGGAUAUUUAACUUGUGGCAGACUAUUCUAGCAGUAUUCAAGGUGAUAUUUACUGAGACCUUUAUGAGUGCCCUAGGAGGCGUCAGCAGGCACUGCGUCAAAUAACAUGCCAUACAUGCAUUUAAAAUGUUGGACUGAUAAAAUAUAAGGACCCAUUUCAGCUCCUGUCAUCACAAGUAAAAAACAAAAAGGCUCAAACAGGCUAUCUCCACCACCCAAAUGUCCCCCUGGACUCAGGCACGGGCACAACCCACUUUCAGGGGUUGACCAAACCAUCGAGUCCCUGGAUUCCUUUAACGGAAUACCCUUCACAUAGGGAUGGCAAGAGCGUUCUCCCAUCCCUAUCACCUGAACCAGAGCCUAUCCGCAACCUUACAAGUUGUGACGAUUUGCUACGUGGCAGGCGAAACCCAAAUGGCAACAGCCAAUCGGCUAAGUGGGAAAAUUCCUGCCGUGCCCCUGUCCCAACGACAGACGACACACGCCAGCAUAGCAAGGUCAAGCGCAGAAGCUCUAAAAGUAGGGAGAGGUGGGCGGGUGUUCCGAAUGCACGCGCCGAAAGAGGAAGCUCUGGGUCACGUUCAUGGGCAUAAAUAGGUCCCUCGAUUCCUUUGGACUCUGCCCCAUUGGCCCAAUUGAACCCAGCAUUGAGGGACCUACCAAUCAGGUGUUGUGGCUGACCAAUCAAACCCACCCAGAACACAGGGUGUCGGUUUCCAGGUCUCACUACAAUACAUGCCCUCUUUAAGGGAGGACCCAAUCUACUGUUUCUGCUGCUGUGGCCCGCCUUGGCAAGGUCUCACAUGCGACCAUCACUACUGCUGCUUAGGGAAACAUUUUGCCAUUACAGUGGUACCUCAGGUUACAUACGGUUCAGGUUACAGACGCUUCAGGUUAUUGAUUCCGCUAACCCAGAAAUAGUACCUCGGGUUAAGAACUUUGCUCUGGUGCUUCAGGUUAAGAAUAGUUUCAGGUUAAGAACGGACCUCUGGAACAAAUUAGUAUGUAACCAGAGGUACCACUGUAAUCCUAAAAUAUUUGCCAUUGUUUCCCAUCUUGUGCCCCUGGGAUGGAGGUAGGCUAAAAAACCACCACCACCACCUUAGUAAACAAACUCUUGUAUCAGGAAGUUGCUGCUACUUUCUUUUGAUUACCUUGAAUUAACUUUUAGCUUGUCCUUUGAAAAUCACUGCUCUUCCUUUUCUUCUAAAGUAGAUUCCGUACAAUUUCCGUGCCCGAGAUUGUCUUGCUUUGAACAAAGAGGCUUGCAAAAAUAUUAAAAAAUCUCUCCAGGUUUUAAUAACUCUGCAUCUUGGGCUAGAUAUAAAGCUUGAUUAGACUCACUCUAUUGUUACACGUAAUUAAAUUCUUGCCUGCCUCUAGCUUGGGAGGAUCUUCUGAUUUAAUAUGUAUUUUCUUCGGCGGAACAACACUGAAUGCCUUUUAAUUUAUGGCCUUGGCAUUCAUAUUACUGCUGCAUUUGUCAGGGCAUCGGAUGUUGCUGUUGCACUUGGGCCUCUUUCAGCUGGAAGAGCUCAAAAGUGAACACAGUUUACAAUGAGAAGUACAAGAUGGGUCCUAUAGAGAAAGAGAGUGAAUUCUUCUCCUAGUGUCAAAGGCCACCAGAAGAGAUUUCCAAACCAUCUUCAAGAGUUUCAACUAACAAGGCCCACCAGCACAAUGGGGCUUUCCUCCCCUAAAAAUGGCUUGGGGGUGUGUGUGUCAGGUUAACCUCCAGAACACUAUCUUAAAGAGGCAAAGCAAAGUACUAUCUUAUAAUGGUUGAUAAACACCACAUGGGAGAGAGGACAGGGGGUUCCUUUUGGCAAGCUAAAAAGCUUGCACACUGACAGAACGAUUGCUGUAGCACUCCAUUGGAUUUCUCCCAGUAUUGAGAAUAGUACAAAUGACACCAUACCUGGGUAAAAAUGACAGUAGGUCUGUCAUCUUCCAGAAACGGUAUCGUUGGUGUAGUAGCUAAAAUUUGUGUAUUGUAAUACACAAGAUGUAGAUUUACUUUCUCCUUCUUUCUAUCUCUUUUCUCCCCAGAUUUUCUAGAUUCCUCCUCAUGUGGAGCAAAUUACAUUCACAUGUUGAUACGCUUUGCUCUCAAGGGCCCCUUAUCCUUUUGCUGAAUAUGUGGCUGGCAAAUGGGGGAGUACGAACUGAGCUGGGGGCAGAGCUUCAACGACAUUGUUUGGUUUUUCCCCCCCUUUGUGAUGCCCCCCUUUAAAGCUCUUGUUACUUUGAUAAUGUAACCCCAUGUUUGGAUUGCUAUUAUUUCAGUUUAUCACUUGCCCUUCGUCAUACUUUUUUGUCCCCCACCCAAAACCCCCCACAGUUAAUCCUUUGCACAAUGCUUUAACUCCAUUUUCUACCCAUAAGCAUCUGACACUGCUUUUACUGAUAGGGCAUAAAUUUUUUUGACAACUUAGAAUAAUAACUAACAUACCCAUGGUAGGAGGGUGUGGGAAGGCUUUAGGUAUUCAGGGUUGGAGCCAGCAAAGUCAUUCCGUGGGUGGAAUGACUUCCUCUCAUUGCAAAUGGAGCUUGUUCUCCCUCUUUUCUCACUGUGCAUUCCCCACAUCUUCUCCCAAGUGUUGGGAGAAACCCAGGAGCAGAUUUGCUUUGGUGGGGGAGAGAGAGGAAAUGGCCAUUUCAUCACACAAGUGGAAGUCAUUCCACUCGUGCAAUGACUUCAUUGAAUAAACCCCAUGCGUUGAUUCUGAGCGAAGGAUACUUUGGUUUUCUAAUGACGUUGUCCUCCCGAGGUUAUAAUGCAUGUUGUUGUUGUUUAGUUGUUUAGUCGUGUCCGACUCUUCGUGACCCCAUGGACCAGAGCAUGCCAGGCACUCCUGUCUUCCACUGCCUCCCGCAGUUUGGUCAAACUCAUGCUGGUAGCUUCGCAAACACUAUCCAACCAUCUCAUCCUCUGUCGUCCCCUUCUCCUUGUGCCCUCCAUCUUUCCCAACAUCAGGGUCUUUUCCAGGGAGUCUUCUCUUCUCAUGAGGUGGCCAUAGUAUUGGAGCCUCAGCUUCACGAUCUGUCCUUCCAGUGAGCACUCAGGGCUGAUUUCCUUAAGAAUGGAGAGGUUUGAUCUUCUUGCAGUCCAUGGGACUCUCAAGAGUCUCCUCCAGCACCAUAAUUCAAAAGCAUCAAUUCUUCGGCGAUCAGCCUUCUUUAUAGUCCAGCUUUCACUUCCAUACAUUACUACUGGGAAAACCAUAGCUU